rfam:Triticum aestivum genome assembly, contig: Triticum_aestivum_CS42_TGACv1_scaffold_434500_5DL
CCUGUACUCUCUCCGUCCUGAAUUAUUUGUUGUAGAAAUGAAUAAAAAUAGAUAUAUCUACAACUAAAAUACAUCUAUAUAUAUUCAUUUUUACGACAAGUAAUUUCAGACGGAGGGAGUAGUAC